CGCUCCUCGCCCGCCCGCGGGAGCGCGCGCAGCCCCGCGCGCGCCUUGUCUGUGUCUCUGCUCCCCCCGCCCGAUGCCGCCGCCGCUCUGGGCGCGUGCGCGGCGGCGCGCCCCCCGCGCGCUCCUACAGCCCGUGCGGCCGCGCGCCCCUCAGGGACAGCGCGGGCUCGUGCCCCGCGGACGCCCCGGCGGCGACGGCGGCGCCCCGGCCCCGGGCUGCAGCUGCUGUUGCCAUGAUGAUGUCGUCACGGAUGCAACCACUGGGAGGAUGGGGACGGGGGCGGACGGGCCAUGCGUUGGAGGGGAAAGGGGCUCAACGAGCGGAGGAGGUGUCCGUCACUCCCCGACACACACGCGCGCUCCCCCGCUCCCACCUUUCAGUUGGGCUCGGCAGGCUGCGCGCGAGCGCGCGUGGGAGCGGGGGGAAAAAUAUCUUUGUAUCGCCUCCCCUGGUGGGGAGGGAGGAGGCAGGGAGGGAGAGAGGGACGGCCUCGGUGAUUCGGCGAUCGGCCGCGCGGGCUGGGGGUGAGGCUGCGGAAUCCCGAGCCGCGGAUGGGGCGGGAGAGGCAGCGCCGCCGGAACACGACGGGGUUAAGCUGGGUCGACCGCCAUUUUGAAUGGCGGGGAGGUGAGUCUCCCCACGCCGCAGGGGCCAGCCAAAAAGAAAAAAAACACCUUAAGAAGAUGAGGGCGAGGACGGGGACGGGACCGGGCGGAGGGGAUGGAGCGCCCGCUCGCCCGCAGGUUGUGAGGGUCUUGCCAUUGCCCUGUAUCAGAAAACCCUGCUGCUGAAUGUGCCUACAGGAAAAUGCAUAAGUAUUCAAGAAAAUUAUAUAAAUUUAAGCAUAAACAUUAAUAAAGAAAUAAUGUGUAAUAAUGUAGGACUAUGCCACUUUUUGAAAAAAUUGAGAAAGUAUAGUUAAUUGAGAAGCAGCAUAUGCAUCAUGUAAGAAGAGGCCCAGUAAACACUUAAUUGUAAAGAUGAGAUUCCUGAUCUGCUCUUAGCUGACAGAAUUCUAUAUGUCAAGAAGUGAUUGAGGUUCCCUUCCAUGCUUGGAAAAUGACCUGUUGUUAAGAAUGAAAUAAUUACAGGAUUGCAUAAGGAAUUCACUUUAGUGUAACAAGAACAUACAUUGUUGAGAAGCAGUUAACAGUAUAGCAGUAAGUGGCGUUUAGAGAUUGCAUAUAUGACAGUGAGAAUUUCAUAGAUGAAAUUUAAUUAAGAUGAACUGAUUAAGUCUUAGAUAAUUGAGGGAUAGUGCUAGAGUUGUUUGCAUUGCUGAACCAGCGUAAUUUAAAGACCUUUUGCCUAUUGCUUUGUACUGAUGACUGUAUAAGUGGGGAAUGGACUCAAAAGAGAAAACAGUGUGUAAUGACAUAUAACAUUUGAGCAUUACUACUAUUUUGGGAAAUGGUAUGUUCAACAGAGUAUACAAAGAAAAGUGGUUGAACAUUUGAAUAGCUUAAAAAAAAAAAAAUCAAAGUAAUAGGUUUAUUUUUACAGGAAGAGCUACCAAUCCCUCCAUACUCUGAAAUUUCUGUUCCACACAAUGCAGCUCAGGUAUAUGAUUGUAAGAAUUGCUUUUAAACAGGCAAGUGAAACAUAAUUUUUCAUAUUCUAGUUUUUAUGAAUAUCUGAAGCAUUUAGUUGAAAGUCUCCAUUGAGAAAUACGUCUGGUGUGAAAACAGUUAGCCCAAAUGGUUCAAAUAAUAAGUAAUUAGAAGGAUGUCAUAAUGGAAAAUUUUCAAGUACUAUAACUGCCAAAAGCCCUAUCAUUCUUCUAUAACUUCUGUAGCCAAAUACACAUGAGUAUGUGGUUAUUAUUUGAAUUUUUGUUGUUUUAAAAUGGGAAAUGGGUUUCUGUGAAUGAAUCACAGAAAUGGGUUUGGAUGGUAAGGAGUGAAAGCCAUUUAAUUUUAGAUGCUCCGUUUUUUUCUGCCAUGUAGUCUGACUUAUGGGAGGCAUUCCUUGUUCAUGCAUCAGACAAAGUGAAAGAAGCCCCAGCACAUAUGUAGAUCACAAACAGCCAUCUGUUUCUCAGAAGGAAAGAGGAGUGUUGCUAUAAGAGUAAACUUAAAAUGUUUUAAGAUUAGCUUAGAGAUGGCAGAGCUCCAUUAAAUAUUUUGUCCAUCUCUGUUGGUCGCUGUCAUAUAUGAAUGUAUACAUUAUACUGAAGCUUCAGAUGCCUGCUAUAUUUUUUUCUGUUAGGACAAUUACCUCUAGUUUAGAACUCAGUAUAUGCUUUCUCUGAGUUCCUAAAUAAGUAUAUAUAUAAGUUUUUAUCACCUCAAUUAUUUUUCCUUCUUGGGGUUUAUUCCUUUGAAGUAAUUUUCCUGAUCAAACUGAAUGUUAAGAAAAAAGAAUUUUGAACUUUUUACUUGCUUAGCUUAAGCUAAGUAAAGUAACACUUGUUUAGGCUUGUAACAUUUCCUUUUGAUUCUUUCCAGGUCCUAAAGAAUUUUUAUUAUUUUUAUGUGAAUUCCAUCCAAUUUGCAUAGAUCUUUCUUGUAAUAUGCCUAGAACACUGUUGUGAUUUCCAGACGUGGUUGUAAAGAGUGUGGAUGAAGCAUUUAUAUUUUAUGUCCAGGCAACCAUAUGACCUCCAUUUGUAGGGCAGAAUUAAUUACUUGGGAGUAUUGAUGUUUGGUCCACCACGAGGUUUGAAGGACUAUGUUGGCUGUCCACAAAUAAAGUGCUGCACAGUCUGCUUACAGCCAUGUUAGACAAACCAUUACCGUCUUUACAACCUUCCUGCUCCAGGAUACACUGCUUCCAAGUAUGCAACCCAAUUCUAAAUUAGUCUCUUUGCUGGUACUCUUACCAAUCUAUUUGUAGUUUCUGCUUGCUUGUUAUCCUUAGAUCCUUUAUAAAUAUGAUGCCAUCGCACUGAAUAUAUUCCAGAAUUUGUUCCAGAAUAUUUCUCUCAGUCUUUUCCAUAGCAGUAGCUUGCUUUUUCUUGUAGUCAGUUUAAUUUUACAGUUUUCUGUCUGCAUUUUAGCCUCACCAAUUUAUGUUGAAGUAUCUCAGUGUCCUCAGAGUUGCCCACAUUGUAGCCUCUUGGGGAUUAAUGAAGCUGUCAAAUAAAACAAGGCCUCACAAUGGUUCCUGUGGCACCACAGCUGUAGAUAAAUUACUUCUUUUCUAUAUUAUUAUUAUGUUAUUUUAAUAUUGAGAUAUUCUUAUUAUUAUUACUAUGACAGUCUGCAGACCCCGUUAGCACACAGAUCUACCUGGACAAUUUGAAUUUUGCAAAUAAAAUUAAUUUUCCUA